rnacentral:misc_RNA from 1 species
CAUAAUAUUACUAUUACAAUACGGUCAAAUGCCUUUAUUUUUCCCUCAUACAAAAUCGACCCAGCCUAGCGAACACGUACAACAAACGUACCCGGGUUGUGAAUUAAAGGCAUAAAUGCUAAAUUCUUGCCUAAAUAUAUCAAGUGUCGUGUUCUGCGAAAGGUAGGCAAUGCUUUGUACGAUUUAGAGGACUUGAAUGGCAAACCGAUCGGGAAGUUCCAUGCAUACGACAUCCGGCUGUGACACUGUCAUCUGUCACGAAGAGCGAUCCGAAGUAAAGUGUUUUUUUUUUUUUAAUUUAAUAAUCACGUUUUUUCUCAAACUAAACUUAGCAAUAGGGUAAAACCUUGACCGCCCGCAGACUGCCCGGGGUCCAACUUUGCAUGGCUUUUCCUCGAAGCUGAGUCAUGUUGGGCUGUAACUCGUUUCUGUAACUCUUCCCUACUGAUCAUUUCUCUGCUGGUAGAGAAUAUACGUCAUUCAUUACUAUUCCUUAGCAGUAGAGAACAAGGCGGCAAGUUCAUAUAUGAAUUCGCCCAGGUAGAGAAUCGGAACAGAAACGAGCUACUGGACUAGCGGAGAGGCCGUACUGUGAAUACGGACUAAGUUCGGCAAUUGGGGGGUGGCUAACUCUAGCCAACGAAUGUGAAUAGAGUAUCUUUUUUUCUCUUACUGUCCUUUUCACUGGGCGCUUUGGCGGUCGGGGACAAACCGCCUAGUACCCUCCCCGAGCAUCUAUAGUCUUAGGACGUUCACGCGCGCUCCCACCGGGAGUCGCGAACUGCCUGACAAUCCCAUUAGGAUUGUCUUUUAGGAGUUUUGACGAGUUCUCCUUUAAGAAAAUGUCUCUUGGGCCGCAAAGCCAUAAUGAAUAGGAAACAAAAUAAAUAUAUACACGGUUUUCCCAGCCUGCCCUGUGUUCUUCUUAGCGGUGUUGAAACAGUGGGGGCAGGGUGUUAAGACCGACUAAGUUCGGCACUUUGGGGGGUAGGCUUCUCUGGCCUAAUACAAUAGAGGACACGCAACACCGGACUUGAAUUUUUUUCCCAGAGUUACUCGGUAUAAUUCUGACUCAAGCAUUUCGAAAAAACGCUAACGCAACCCAUACUUACAGCUCAAUUCUUAGCUGAUAUCACAAUAGAGAGCCCACUCAACUGUGAGGUUUUUCUUGUGAUUUCAUUAUUGAAAAACUCUCUCAAGAAAAAAGCUUUUAAACUUUCCCACUGUGAGGUGAAUAUUUGUUUGCUGAUGACAGGUAUCAAACUCACAAAAUAAAAAUACAAAAAAUGGAGCAAACAAACAAAAAGUAAGUAAUUUUUAAAUUUAAAUAUAUAUUUACGAGUUUAUUUCUCUUGAUCAUUUCAAUUUUUAUGUACAGCAGAUACGAAAGGACAACGCAGGAGCAGCUUCAAUAUUUUGUAAGUUUCUGCAAGCAGCAUCCCGAACUGCAAGCAGGGAAAAAUAAGCCACAUUCGCCGCGCGCUGUGCAGGACUUGUGGCAGAAACUGGCGGAGCACCUGAACGCGAUGGGAGGACCAACAAGGGCAGCGUCGAAGUGGAAAGAGAGUUUAUCACACUAGAAGUGCCAGAUUCGCUCUCGUGCUCGCAAAGCAAAAGCCCAAUUGCAAAGCACUGGGGCGGGCCUCGAACCCCCGAUAUAACGGAGUUUGAUCAUUAGGCAAUUGAAACAUUUGGUACAGCAGCAGUGGAUGGAUUGCCUGAACUGGGAAAUAUGGGUUUUGAGGAAAGCUCAAGUUUGCAAGAUGUGGUGGUGGUUAGUGGCGCUGAGGACAACAUUGAAUUUUCCUCUGAUGUGAUAAUGACACCACUUUCCAUAAACAUAUCAAAUGAGAAUUCAAAUUUGUCCUCAGGAUCGCAGACCCACCUCACUCCGGUAUCUCAGCCCGAAAAUACACGAAAAAUAACAUUGGAGGCGGUGUAUAAUGUUGCUAUGGAGGACAUGAGGGCACGUCAACAGCGGAAUGGGCUUGCAAUUGCUCAGCAGGGGGCAUUGACUAUAGCAAUUACAAAAUUAACACAAACCUUAGAUAGGUUUUGUGAAAAUUUGAAUAAAACGUAAACGUAAAAACAAUUCUGUCAACUUAUGUAUACGUUUUAGAAUUAUUCUUGUUUAGUUGUUAAUAAUUUCUCUAAAAUAAAAACAUCAUUAAUUUAAAGAUGUAGAAAGAACAAUUUUUUGUGUAUUGGCUGUAAAUUUUACAUUUGCAGGUAUAAAUACAUAAGUCGGAUUUGAAAUUUUUUACUCAUCAAAUGAGUUCUUACCUGCGAAGUUGUCUAUAUCCCCGAAUCGUGGCAGGAUCCUGGAAACUUAGCGUUUACGGAUGUGAAAAUCAAACGAUGGUUGCACACCUGAAAAGGGAAAGAGUUUUAUGUUAGUAUUUAAUGUACCCUAAAUUCACAUAUACACAUGAAUGUAUGUAUUCAAAUGCAAUAAUUACUGCUCCGACAUUUAUGCUGUAAUAUCCUUUUCUGUUCAUGU